CGCCAGCCCGCUCAGAAACUCAAGGAAUUGACGGGGACCCGCGACAAGCGGUGGAUGAUGUGGAUUAAUUCGAUGCAACGCGAAAACCUUACCUACCCUUGACAUGUCUGGAACCUUGCUGAGAGGCGAGGGUGCCUUCGGGAGCCAGAACACAGGUGCUGCAUGGCUGUCGUCAGCUCGUGUCGUGAGAUGUUGGGUUAAGUCCCGCAACGAGCGCAACCCUUGUCAUUAGUUGCCAUCAUUUAGUUGGGCACUCUAAUGAGACUGCCGGUGACAAACCGGAGGAAGGUGGGGAUGACGUCAAGUCCUCAUGGCCCUUAUGGGUAGGGCUUCACACGUCAUACAAUGGUCGGUACAGAGGGUUGCCAAGCCGCGAGGUGGAGCCAAUCCCUUAAAGCCGAUCGUAGUCCGGAUCGUAGUCUGCAACUCGACUACGUGAAGUCGGAAUCGCUAGUAAUCGCGGAUCAGCACGCCGCGGUGAAUACGUUCCCGGGCCUU
rnacentral:rRNA from 1 species